UGCAGUCGUGCGGUAACAGACUUUUUUGAUUCAGCUUGCUGAAUCUUGUGCUGACGAGCGGCGAACGGGUGAGUAACGCGUAGGAAUCUACCCAGUAGCGGGGGAUAGCCCGAGGAAACUCGGAUUAAUACCGCAUACGACCUAAGGGUGAAAGCGGGGAGUUUACUUCUCGCACUACUGGAUGAGCCUGCGUAAGAUUAGCUUGUUGGUAGGGUAAUAGCCUACCAAGGCUUCGAUCUUUAGCUGGUCUGAGAGGACGAUCAGCCACAUUGGGACUGAGACACGGCCCAAACUCCUACGGGAGGCAGCAGUGGGGAAUCUUGCACAAUGGGGGAAACCCUGAUGCAGCGAUGCCGCGUGAGUGAAGAAGGCCCUUGGGUUGUAAAGCUCUUUCGUCGGGGAAGAAAAUGACUGUACCCGAAUAAGAAGGUCCGGCUAACUUCGUGCCAGCAGCCGCGGUAAUACGAAGGGACCUAGCGUAGUUCGGAAUUACUGGGCUUAAAGAGUUCGUAGGUGGUUAAAAAAGUUGGUGGUGAAAUCCCAGAGCUUAACUCUGGAACUGCCAUCAAAACUUUUUAGCUAGAGUGUGAUAGAGGAAAGUAGAAUUUCUAGUGUAGAGG
rnacentral:rRNA from 1 species